rnacentral:rRNA from 1 species
AAUGAACGUUGGCGGCGUGGAUUAGGCAUGCAAGUCGUGCGAGAAACUUCCCUUCGGGGAGGUGGACAGCGGCGCAAGGGAGAGUAAUGCAUGGAUACCUACCCCCGAGUCUGGGAUAGCUGUGGGAAACUGCAGGUAAUACCGGAUAACAUCCCCGGAUCAAAGGUGUGAUUCCGCUUGGGAGGGGUCCAUGUCCUAUUAGCUUGUUGGUGGGGUAAUGGCCUACCAAGGCGGCGAUGGGUACCGGGCGUGAGAGCGUGACCCGGCUCACUGGGACUGAGACACUGCCCAGACACCUACGGGUGGCUGCAGUCGAGAAUCUUCCGCAAUGGGCGCAAGCCUGACGGAGCGACGCCGCGUGCGGGAUGAAGGCCUUCGGGUUGUAAACCGCUGUCAGAGGGGAUGAAAUGCUAUGGGGUACUCUCCAUAGUUUGACAUAUCCUCAGAGGAAGGACGGGCUAAGUUCGUG